rnacentral:ribozyme from 1 species
UGCAAAAGAGAAAGAGAAAGGAAAAGAGAAAAAGAAGGAGAGAAAGUGGACCUCUCAUUUUUCUUCUCUUUCUCUUU